GGGUUGUGAGGUUAAGCGACUAAGCGUACACGGUGGAUGCCCUGGCAGUCAGAGGCGAUGAAGGACGUGCUAAUCUGCGAAAAGCGUCGGUAAGGUGAUAUGAACCGUUAUAACCGGCGAUGUCCGAAUGGGGAAACCCAGUGCAAUUCGUUGCACUAUCGUUAACUGAAUACAUAGGUUAACGAGGCGAACCGGGGGAACUGAAACAUCUAAGUACCCCGAGGAAAAGAAAUCAACCGAGAUUCCCCCAGUAGCGGCGAGCGAACGGGGAGCAGCCCAGAGUCUGAAUCAGCUUGUGUGUUAGUGGAACGGUCUGGAAAGUCCGACGGUACAGGGUGAUAGUCCCGUACACCAAAAUGCACAGGUUGUGAACUCGAAGAGUAGGGCGGGACACGUGGUAUCCUGUCUGAAUAUGGGGGGACCAUCCUCCAAGGCUAAAUACUCCUGACUGACCGAUAGUGAACCAGUACCGUGAGGGAAAGGCGAAAAGAACCCCGGCGAGGGGAGUGAAAAAGAACCUGAAACCGUGUACGUACAAGCAGUGGGAGCACCUUCGGGUGUGACUGCGUACCUUUUGUAUAAUGGGUCAGCGACUUAUAUUCUGUAGCAAGGUUAACCGUAUAGGGGAGCCGCAGGGAAACCGAGUCUUAACUGGGCGUUAAGUUGCAGGGUAUAGACCCGAAACCCGGUGAUCUAGCCAUGGGCAGGUUGAAGGUUGGGUAACACUAACUGGAGGACCGAACCGACUAAUGUUGAAAAAUUAGCGGAUGACUUGUGGCUGGGGGUGAAAGGCCAAUCAAACCGGGAGAUAGCUGGUUCUCCCCGAAAGCUAUUUAGGUAGCGCCUCGUGAAUUCAUCUUCGGGGGUAGAGCACUGUUUCGGCUAGGGGGUCAUCCCGACUUACCAACCCGAUGCAAACUACGAAUACCGAAGAAUGUUAUCACGGGAGACACACGGCGGGUGCUAACGUCCGUCGUGAAGAGGGAAACAACCCAGACCGCCAGCUAAGGUCCCAAAGUCAUGGUUAAGUGGGAAACGAUGUGGGAAGGCACAGACAGCCAGGAUGUUGGCUUAGAAGCAGCCAUCAUUUAAAGAAAGCGUAAUAGCUCACUGGUCGAGUCGGCCUGCGCGGAAGAUGUAACGGGGCUAAACCAUGCACCGAAGCUGCGGCAGCGACACUAUGUGUUGUUGGGUAGGGGAGCGUUCUGUAAGCCUGCGAAGGUGUGCUGUGAGGCAUGCUGGAGGUAUCAGAAGUGCGAAUGCUGACAUAAGUAACGAUAAAGCGGGUGAAAAGCCCGCUCGCCGGAAGACCAAGGGUUCCUGUCCAACGUUAAUCGGGGCAGGGUGAGUCGACCCCUAAGGCGAGGCCGAAAGGCGUAGUCGAUGGGAAACAGGUUAAUAUUCCUGUACUUGGUGUUACUGCGAAGGGGGGACGGAGAAGGCUAUGUUAGCCGGGCGACGGUUGUCCCGGUUUAAGCAUGUAGGCUGGUUGUCCAGGCAAAUCCGGAUAAUCAAGGCUGAGGUGUGAUGACGAGGCACUACGGUGCUGAAGUAACAAAUGCCCUGCUUCCAGGAAAAGCCUCUAAGCAUCAGGUAACAUCAAAUCGUACCCCAAACCGACACAGGUGGUCAGGUAGAGAAUACCAAGGCGCUUGAGAGAACUCGGGUGAAGGAACUAGGCAAAAUGGUGCCGUAACUUCGGGAGAAGGCACGCUGGUGUGUAGGUGAAGCCCCUGCGGGUGGAGCUGAGACCAGUCGAAGAUACCAGCUGGCUGCAACUGUUUAUUAAAAACACAGCACUGUGCAAACACGAAAGUGGACGUAUACGGUGUGACGCCUGCCCGGUGCCGGAAGGUUAAUUGAUGGGGUUAUCCGUAAGGAGAAGCUCUUGAUCGAAGCCCCGGUAAACGGCGGCCGUAACUAUAACGGUCCUAAGGUAGCGAAAUUCCUUGUCGGGUAAGUUCCGACCUGCACGAAUGGCGUAAUGAUGGCCAGGCUGUCUCCACCCGAGACUCAGUGAAAUUGAACUCGCUGUGAAGAUGCAGUGUACCCGCGGCAAGACGGAAAGACCCCGUGAACCUUUACUAUAGCUUGACACUGAACAUUGAGCCUUGAUGUGUAGGAUAGGUGGGAGGCUUUGAAGCGUGGACGCCAGUCUGCGUGGAGCCAACCUUGAAAUACCACCCUUUAAUGUUUGAUGUUCUAACGUUGGCCCCUGACCGGGGUUGCGGACAGUGUCUGGUGGGUAGUUUGACUGGGGCGGUCUCCUCCCAAAGCGUAACGGAGGAGCACGAAGGUUAGCUAAUCCUGGUCGGACAUCAGGAGGUUAGUGCAAUGGCAUAAGCUAGCUUGACUGCGAGCGUGACGGCGCGAGCAGGUGCGAAAGCAGGUCAUAGUGAUCCGGUGGUUCUGAAUGGAAGGGCCAUCGCUCAACGGAUAAAAGGUACUCCGGGGAUAACAGGCUGAUACCGCCCAAGAGUUCAUAUCGACGGCGGUGUUUGGCACCUCGAUGUCGGCUCAUCACAUCCUGGGGCUGAAGUAGGUCCCAAGGGUAUGGCUGUUCGCCAUUUAAAGUGGUACGCGAGCUGGGUUUAGAACGUCGUGAGACAGUUCGGUCCCUAUCUGCCGUGGGCGCUGGAGAAUUGAGGGGGGCUGCUCCUAGUACGAGAGGACCGGAGUGGACGCAUCACUGGUGUUCGGGUUGUCAUGCCAAUGGCACUGCCCGGUAGCUAAAUGCGGAAGAGAUAAGUGCUGAAAGCAUCUAAGCACGAAACUUGCCCCGAGAUGAGUUCUCCCUGAGACUUUAAGUCUCCUGAAGGAACGUU
rnacentral:rRNA from 1 species